rnacentral:lncRNA from 1 species
GGAGCUCACCAACGUCAUACUCGGCCACAACCGCCUCUCCGGCUCAAUCCCGCCGUUCACCUCCACGUCACUAACCCGCCUCGACCUGAAGCACAACGACUUCUCCGGUACGCUCGCUCCCAACUCCCUCCCUGCUUCUCUCCAGUACCUCUCUCUCUCCUGGAACCGCCUCUCCGGCCCGGUCUACGGCAUCUUAAGCCGCCUCGACCAGCUCAACUACCUCGACCUCAGCAUGAACCAGUUGACGGGUCUAAUCCCGGGCCGGGUCUUCACUUUCCCGAUCACCAAUCUCCAGCUCCAAAGAAACCUCUUCUUCGGCCCGGUCCGGCCGGCCGAUCAAGUCUCGAUCCCGACCAU